rnacentral:tRNA from 1 species
CGGGACGUGGCGCAGCCUGGUAGCGUACCUGAAUGGGGUUCAGGGGGUCCCGAGUUCAAAUCUCGGCGUCCCGACCA